rnacentral:rRNA from 1 species
CCUACGGGAGGCAGCAGUAGGGAAUAUUGCUCAAUGGGGGAAACCCUGAAGCAGCAACGCCGCGUGGAGGAUGAAGGUUUUCGGAUUGUAAACUCCUUUUGGCAGAGAAGAUAAUGACGGUAUCUAACGAAUAAGCACCGGCUAACUCCGUGCCAGCAGCCGCGGUAAUACGGAGGGGGCAAGCGUUAUCCGGAAUUACUGGGCGUAAAGAGCGCGUAGGCGGGAGUGCAAGUCCGGAGUGAAAGGCGUUGGCUUAACCCAUGGACUGCAUUUGAAACUGUUAGUCUAGAGUGUGGGAGAGGGAAGUGGAAAUCCUGGUGUAGGGGGUAAAGCCGUAGAGAUCAAGAGGAAAAC